CGUACACAAACAGAGGAAUCCUGACUGCACCUCCGAAAGAGUGUUUACAACGAUGGAUACUGGCACAACACUGAUCAAUUUAACCUAUCGAUAGGUUCACUCCUGCCAACAGAAAAAGAUUCAUCAGAUGGCACACUACCCAAUUGCUCUGCUUCAGGUGGCAUCAAUCCAGGAAGACGCAAGACUAGGGAAAAUAGUCGCUGAUCCCAUCGAAAUGGCUCCUUGGUUAAUUCACUCCCUGGCAAGGGAGAAUUAAGAGGUUUCCAGAACACUCAAUUCUGCAUAGCAGACAAUUCCUUCAGGCACAGAGCAGUUAACCUUACAUCAGCUACACCACUGUGGAGGUUUGGUGUCACAUGCGAACGAACCAAACAAAAGAACAGUCCUUCAAGGUUGGAUAGAUCCAGUCUGUCAAAGUGACCGAAUGAUAUACUAUUUAAAGCUAAAAGCAUCAGUGCCAGUGAACUCCCAUCACCAAGCAACAAAAAAAUUGAUCACUGCGCCAGUCAACAAACUAUUGACUGCAGUAGUGGAGCCAACAACACCAUGACAUGCUGGAGUGCAUCAAUUAUUCAUGUUCAGCAACAUCUAAUUGGAUACGCCUGGAUUUCUUGGGCUUAAUGUGUUUGUCUAUCUCAUAGCUAAUGCAGGUAUCAUUGCAGCCAUUCCUCA